AUUGAACGCUGGCGGCAUGCCUUACACAUGCAAGUCGAACGGCAGCACGGGUGCUUGCACCUGGUGGCGAGUGGCGAACGGGUGAGUAAUACAUCGGAACAUGUCCUGUAGUGGGGGAUAGCCCGGCGAAAGCCGGAUUAAUACCGCAUACGAUCUACGGAUGAAAGCGGGGGACCUUCGGGCCUCGCGCUAUAGGGUUGGCCGAUGGCUGAUUAGCUAGUUGGUGGGGUAAUGGCCUACCAAGGCGACGAUCAGUAGCUGGUCUGAGAGGACGACCAGCCACACUGGGACUGAGACACGGCCCAGACUCCUACGGGAGGCAGCAGUGGGGAAUUUUGGACAAUGGGCGAAAGCCUGAUCCAGCAAUGCCGCGUGUGUGAAGAAGGCCUUCGGGUUGUAAAGCACUUUUGUCCGGAAAGAAAUCCUUGGCCCUAAUACGGUCGGGGGAUGACGGUACCGGAAGAAUAAGCACCGGCUAACUACGUG
rnacentral:rRNA from 1 species